AUAUUACCGAAGCUGUGGACUACACCAUUAGGUGUAGUGGUAGGAGAGCGUUCUAAGGGCGUUGAAGGUCGAUCGUGAGGACGGCUGGAGCGCUUAGAAGUGAGAAUGCCGGUAUGAGUAGCGAAAGACAGGUGAGAAUCCUGUCCACCGUAUGACUAAGGUUUCCUGGGGAAGGCUCGUCCGCCCAGGGUUAGUCGGGACCUAAGCCGAGGCCGAUAGGCGUAGGCGAUGGACAACAGGUUGAUAUUCCUGUACCAGUUGUUUUUGUUUGAGCAAUGGAGGGACGCAGUAGGCUAAGGAAUGCAUGCGAUUGGAAGUGCAUGUCCAAGCAAUGAGUCUUGAGUAGAGUUAAAUGCUUUACUCUUUAAGGACAAGUUGUGACGGGGAGCGAAAUAAUAGUAGCGAAGUUCCUGAUGUCACACUGCCAAGAAAAGCUUCUAGUGAGAAAACAACUGCCCGUACCGUAAACCGACACAGGUAGUCGAGGAGAGUAUCCUAAGGUGAGCGAGCGAACUCUCGUUAAGGAACUCGGCAAAAUGACCCCGUAACUUCGGGAGAAGGGGUGCUGACUUCGGUCAGCCGCAGUGAAUAGGCCCAAGCGACUGUUUAUCAAAAACACAGGUCUCUGCAAAAUCGUAAGAUGAAGUAUAGGGG
rnacentral:rRNA from 1 species